UCCCGUCUCUCUCUCAUCUUAUUUUUUAAAAAAAAUCGAUGUGAACAUUUGUUUGGUACCUUGAUUGAAAAUUUUAUUUUGGUAAAAGGAACCUUUGAUUGAGGUUAAAUUUUAUAAUCAUAAGUACAUUCGCCUGAUAAUUGCUGUUUUAUUUCUGAUUUUUCGGCCAUAUUGUUAUACAAUGUUAUUUGGGUAUUAGAUGUUGUUUUAGGGUUUAUAUGAUUUUAUGGGGAAUCUCAUUAGUUGUCAACUAAUUGUUUUUCAUCCUGCUAAUUGUAGGAGCAGUUGAAUUGCAUGUUUGUUGUAAUUUGUUUUGUGGUGACAAUGUAAUUCAAUGGUGGAAUUGGAAUUGGUGAUUCGUCGUAUCAGUAAAAACAAAAUGCCGGUUUGAUAUGCUCAAAAGUCUUGUUCUCCCGGCUGGAAUGUCGUGCCAUUACCAUGGUGUGAUUGUUGAAAUAUUUGAGACUGCCCAUCAAAAUAAAACAGUCUUCCUUAAUAGUUGCACUUACUUUCUGGGAUUUACCAUGAAAAUUGCCAGUUUUUGUUAUACAGUACUCCGUAACUGCAAAAUCUUGUUCUAAGAUUUCCCAAUCUUUCGAUACUUCUGUGUAAUGAGGAGAUUAUAGGAAAGUUUCAACAAUUAUCAAAGACUAUGCCUUAAUCACGAGGGAGUUGGGAGUUGGGAUUUGGAUAUCAUGUGAGAACUAUUUCCUUAUAGAGGGAGUAAUUACCAAGUACUGAUGGAAAAUGGAUGUGUAGGAUUGAUCGAAGGAUCAUUUUUUUGGUGUUUGGAAACUUAGUGGUAGGAAAUUUUUCGUCGAUUCAAAGAGAUUGAGUUAGUUAUAUAAUCAAAUUAACUUGCAUUUGCUCUUGGAUUGAAAGAGUCCUAUGCAGUACUAGAAAAAUGAGACAUUCCCAUGCUGAGUACCAAAUCUGUUGUCAAUGUGUUCUUGCUGCUGAACAGAUGUAGUCCUCUCUCUACCCUUCUUUUUGUAGACCUCUCUUUGCUAAUGCCAUUUUCACUUGCUUUAAAAGGUGAUAGGUGAGUUGAUUAUCUUGCCUGGGAAUGGGUUUUUGAUUUAGGAACUGAGAAGAAUGAUGGUGAUUGGUGAGGAUCAUACGGUGUAUGAGUGUAUCUUUAAGAAAAUGUUUAUAGCUAUAAUUAACAGUGUGUUUUUAAGAGUGUGGCUGACGUUGGUGUUGGAAUGCCUAUGUUAUGAAUGCUUAGUGAGUAGGUUUUUUGUUUAAAAAACAGACCACCCCAUGCAUUCUUCGAGAACCCUUCUCUUAUCAAUUUCUUGAACCUCCUGAAGACAAUAACAGAUAUAUGAUGAAGCCUACAGGAGAAUCCUGAUUUAUCUUUA